CCUACGGGAGGCAGCAGUGAGGAAUAUUGGUCAAUGGGCGUAAGCCUGAACCAGCCAAGUCGCGUGAGGGAUGAAGGUUCUAUGGAUCGUAAACCUCUUUUAUAAGGGAAUAAAGUGUGGGACGUGUCCUGUUUUGUAUGUACCUUAUGAAUAAGGAUCGGCUAACUCCGUGCCAGCAGCCGCGGUAAUACGGAGGAUACGAGCGUUAUCCGGAUUUGUUGGGUUUAAAGGGUGCGUAGGCGGCCUUUUAAGUCAGCGGUGAAGGUCUGUGGCUCAACCUGAGAAUUGCCGUUGAAACUGGGAGGCUAGAGUAUGUUUGAGGCAGGCGGAAUGCGUGGUGUAGCGGUGAAAUGCUUAGAGAUCACGAAGAACCCCGAUGGCGAAGGCAGCCUGCCAAGCCAUGACUGACGCUGAUGCACGAAAGCGUGGGGAUCAAACAGGAUUAGAUACCCUAGUAGUC
rnacentral:rRNA from 1 species